UGGCCUCCUCGACAAACGUUGUCAAACAGUUGAUGGAGCUCUCUUCCGUACUUGGUAGCGAAGUAAUAAAUACAUGUUCCUCCGCCUUCCUUCACUUCGAAAGCAAACGCCCCGUAGACGGCGCCGUAGUGAGCGUACUGGACCCUCGAUUAUAUCCAUAGUGGCUGGCGCAUCCUCAAUACAUUCAGCUGGCAAAGUAGGAAACCAUCGAGCUACUUGGAAGCCACUGUUCUUCGAUUUGGAGCUUGUGAACAUGCGCGCGCACACUUCUUCUAACAUUCCUUGAGUGGAGGAUUUAUUAGGGUUUUAUGACCUACCCAAGGAUCAUAAACCAUAAAACAACGAAUAUACUAAAAGCUUUAGAAGUUUAAAAUUAUCUCUCUCGAUACGAAUCGUGCGCAAAGACCCAACUUUGAGGUAAUGUCAGUCGGUAAGCAUAUUUGUUUGAUUGUAACAGCAGUUAUAGGAAGUGAUGGAAUCCUGUAGCUCUGCAAACAAUUUGAGUCCCGCCAACUUCCUUUGCCUUAGAAGUGACGUUCGGUAAUUGAUACUUUACUAGAGCUUAGCUUACUUCCGGUCUGUAAGAGUCCGUCGAAAUUUAACGACUGUAUUUGAUUGAUAUUUAGCUACAAUAUGACACUGUGGUAUGUCGAAUAAUAUCAACCGAACCAAGUUAAAUAAUAUGGAAAAAAGUGAUGCUUAGUUCUUUCCUUUUUAAAUAGCCCACGACUGAAUGACAGCUAGAGGUGAUAUAUAGUCUGCAACCCACAAACCAGCGAGCGAUACAGUACUCGAACUACGUACUUUUGUUAUGACGUAUCGGUGAAGGUUGUUCAAGGAGGGGGCCACAAAAUUAUCUUAUGGAUGAUGUGUAGGAGAGCCCCGUCAUCAGAGUCAGUUCCACAGCCAAUCACAUUGGUCUCAUUUUUAAGAUAAAAAUAUUAAAGAUCAGAGUAUGCUGUGAACCCGAUGAAUUUGUUAGUUCCUAUUGAGCAUGUGAUUUUUAUCUCUGGGACCUUAAAUGGGUCUUAAUGACGUUGAGACAAAACAAGGUCCUAUUUCCCACUGUGAACUCGCCGGGGAAGAAAGUAUAAAUAGAUCCCCUUGCAUAUUCAAGUUGAUACAAGCAUCAAGACAGACCCUCUAUCACUCCAGCCCUUGUCAAAUCAUUUUAUUAUUGAGUGGCCUUUAUACAGUAUAUUUAUAGUCUUUAUAACAGAGUUAUUGGAACAUUGAAAGAUUGUUCGCGCAUUGACUGUCAAGUAAAACCCCUCGAAAUUUCAGCACGAUAGUAUAACUCAAAGUGAACUAAGAAAAAAGAUUUCUUUAGAUUGGGCGUGAUGAUGUUCAGUCCCUUUUUCAGAACUCGUGCAUGUCGUAUUCUCUCGAGAAUAAGAAGAUUCUUUGUUUGAGCCGCAUACAUGCAUAUUCAUGUAUCUUCCUAUGCGGCAACUGCUGUUAAACAAAGAAAUACUACUCUAGGGGCACGUUGUCUGAAAUGGGAAAACAAUACGCUAGAGAGAUCUACUGCUUCGUCCUUCAUCAAAUUUAUUUUUAGUUCCAUGAUAAUGGGAUUAAUUAUAGAUGCAUUGUUAAAAAUUGCCCUGUUGAUCAAUCUAUUUGCAAAUUAGGUUACAUGUACAUGUUUACGGAUGUGUUUACGGAUGUGUUCAGUGAUACAGAAUCGUGUUUGACGUCAUCUAUCACGCAUUUUCAGUCUGAGGGGAAAAUCUGCGGAUAAUUUGGUAAGUGCGUGGGAGGUCUGUUGUGGAUCAAUAAUGGAUCAGUAGCCGGUGUUUGUCGAUUCCCAAGAAUUAAUCUAGAUAUUUGUACUUGCUCUUUUUGAUUUUCUUUUCUUCUAUUAGAUUUUUUUUCAGAAAGCGUUUUGGGUAGUGAGCACAACGAUUUUCAAGUUUUUUAAACGGUUUUGGAUCGUCCCACGGACCAUCCAGCCUUCCAGUUGCAGACGUUAUUUGUGUCGGUCCGAUCGACACAAACAACGUCUGAAAAGGAGGCUACAGACCAUCUUGAUGCUCUUAGGAUGUUCAUGUGACUAAGCAGAGACUUCGAGAAGAAUUCUGAAACCAGUGGAAACAUGACAAUACCAACACGACGGUCUGUUUCUUGCCGGCCAUAAUGAUGCAUUGAAGUUUGUCUCCAUGCCAAAAAGACGCCAAGUCUGACAUAAGUUACUAGAUAGCAUGCAAUACUAUUACGAUUUUUUGACUGCCCUACGUCCCCUCCCCUCAUCCCCAAGGGGAAAAAAUGAAAAUAAACUUAAAGAUAUUGAGGCAAGAUUAAUUAGUGACUAGUCUAAUUACCGGCGAACACACGCAAACGUGUUGAAAAUAUGACAGCAAUAUUGCACUGAUAUAAGGAUGAUUGUACUGACUUUCAUAAUAUUCACUUAAAAAGUGCUAUUUUCAGACGACCAGGCUAGCUAUGACGGAACUCAUUUUAAAUGACCACAUAAUAGCUUUAAAACAAUAAACAUCCCGUUUUUCUUCAAAUUUUCUUUUCCAUUACCAGUAAGUCUUCUUUUUAAAGACUUCGUGUUCCGGUAUAUUUAUUUUAUUUUUUCUUCCUUUUUGCUAUCGUCGAUUUUUGAGCUGGACUGAGCAUAUGUGUACACCGAUGUCUGUUACACAUUUUUACAUCGUAGUAGAAUAAAAUCCUGUAUGAAAUAAUGUA
rnacentral:lncRNA from 1 species